rnacentral:rRNA from 1 species
UACGAAGGGGGCUAGCGUUGCUCGGAAUCACUGGGCGUAAAGCGCACGUAGGCGGCUUCUUAAGUCAGGGGUGAAAUCCUGGAGCUCAACUCCGGAACUGCCUUUGAUACUGAGUAGCUUGAGUCCGGGAGAGGUGAGUGGAACUGCGAGUGUAGAGGUGAAAUUCGUAGAUAUUCGCAAGAACACCAGUGGCGAAGGCGGCUCACUGGCCCGGUACUGACGCUGAGGUGCGAAAGCGUGGGGAGCAAACAGG